UUCCUGUGGGGCUGGUCUUAAACACCACUUCCUGCAGGUUUCAGGCCUUUUGCCAGAUGAGCUCUGUACAAACAAAUGGGGGUAAUUAAGGGAACAGCUGUGUACUGUCUGACGACUCGUCUUGCCGCCGCCACACUUCACGAGAACGCCGGCGAGGAAGCCGUCAUCACAGGUGCACGGUGUGUGGACGUCUCACCACACCCUCUCCACAGCCAUUUACACUACAGCUGCAGUCUCAGCUUCUGUAGGUUGGACCCGUCCCUCAGCUUGACUCAGCGUUAAGAGCAAAGCCCCCGAUGGAUGUGACUCCGAGUUCACAUGCAUUAACGUUCCACUCGACGCCACUGGUUCUCUCCUCAGUCACACCACAAUCAGCCCUGACGUCCUCACCACUUGUGUCCUCUGCGAGUCCAGGCAUGAGAUGUGUGCAGCCAGCCAGGAAGAAGCGAGGCAAUAAAGAGCAAAACAAGCUGGUGUGCAGCACCCAGACAUCCAGCAGAUAAUCUGGCCUUUCUGUAUUAGAGGGGAAGUGGACCGUGAAAGUAAUUGGUUCAGUAAUCAACCUGAAGGUGGGAGGAAGAACUUAACAUCAGCACGAGGAAAUAAGAAACUGAAGUUUACAGCUGAGGCUCAGGCUGCUUUA